GCUGGGCGUGGUGGUGCACACCUAUAAUCCCAGAUACUCGGGAGGCUGAGACAGGAGAAUCACUUGAACCCAGGAUGCGGAGGCUGCAGUGAGCUGAGAUUAUGCCACUGCACUCCAGCCUGGGUGACAGAGUGAGACUCUGUCUCAA
rnacentral:SRP_RNA from 1 species